rnacentral:lncRNA from 1 species
UGCCACCUAACAUAUAAGAUAUGAUGAAUAAUCUCCCUCUUUUUUCUCUCUUUCUUUUUGCUACUCUCUCUCUCUCUCUCUCUCUCUCUCUCUCUGGCAGCUGGCAGUAUUGGAUCUUCUCAGUCCUAAGCAGACGGCUGAGUUGAUGGUUCUGCCUCUCCCUCAUCCCCAAGGCAAAGAUGAGGUCAUCAACAGAGUGCUGGAUCACCUGCUGGAGUCACCAGUGGAGCGGAACCUUCCAGAAGUUCUUAUUCACGUCAUCGUCCUCUCCAGACAGCUUGAAGUACCUUGUGAGUUCUAUCAAGCAAUAAUCCCGAGGCUGAGGGGAUCGUUGACGUCAGUACCAGG